rnacentral:rRNA from 1 species
UACGAGGGGUGCAAGCGUUGCUCGGAAUUAUUGGGCGUAAAGGGUAGGUAGGUGGUCUCAUUUGUCCGGGGUGAAAGCCUUGAGCUUAACUCAAGAAGUGCCCCGGAAACGGUGAGACUAGAGUCCUGGAGAGGGUCGUGGAAUUCCCGGUGUAGCGGUGAAAUGCGUAGAGAUCGGGAGGAACACCAGAGGCGAAGGCGGCGACCUGGACAGGCACUGACACUCAACUACGAAAGCGUGGGGAGCAAACAGG